UACGUAUGGAGCAAGCGUUAUCCGGAUUUACUGGGUGUAAAGGGAGCGUAGGCGGCAUACCAAGCCUGAUGUGAAAACCCGGGGCCCAACCCCGGGAGUGCAUUGGGAACUGGCAAGCUAGAGUGUCGGAGAGGCAGGCGGAAUUCCUAGUGUAGCGGUGAAAUGCGUAGAUAUUAGGAGGAACACCAGUGGCGAAGGCGGCCUGCUGGACGAUGACUGACGCUGAGGCUCGGAAGCGUGGGGAGCAAACAGG
rnacentral:rRNA from 1 species